AGCAGCCGCGGUAAUUCCAGCUCCAAUAGCGUAUAUUAAAGUUGUUGCAGUUAAAAAGCUCGUAGUUGAAUUUCGGGAUCAAUAUGUUGGUCGUGCCUUGGUACGUACUGGCAUUAUUGGUUUCUACCUUCUGAAGAACCUCGAUGUCAUUAAUUUGGUGUCUUGGGGAAUCAGGACUGUUACUUUGAAAAAAUUAGAGUGUUUAAAGCAGGCUCGCGCUUGAAUACAUUAGCAUGGAAUAAUGAAAUAGGACGUUUGAUUCUAUUUUGUUGGUUUCUAGGAUCGACGUAAUGAUUAAUAGGGAUAGUUGGGGGCAUUAGUAUUCAAUUGUCAGAGGUGAAAUUCUUGGAUUUAUUGAAGACUAACUACUGCGAAAGCAUUUGCCAAGGAUGUUUUCAUUAAUCAAGGACGAAAGUUAGGGGAUCGAAGACGAUCAGAUACCGUCGUAGUCUUAACCAUAAACUAUGCCGACUAGGGAUCGGAUGAUGUUAAUUUUUUAGUGACUCAUUCGGCGCCUUACG
rnacentral:rRNA from 1 species